UUUAACAUGAGAGUUUGAUCCUGGCUCAGGAUGAACGCUGGCGGCGUGCCUAACACAUGCAAGUCGAGCGAAGCGAUCGAGAUGAAGUUUUCGGAUGGAUUCCUGAUUGACUGAGCGGCGGACGGGUG
rnacentral:rRNA from 1 species